AACGAACGCUGGCGGCAUGCCUAACACAUGCAAGUCGAACGAGACCUUCGGGUCUAGUGGCGCACGGGUGCGUAAAGCGUGGGAACCUGCCCUUAGGUUCGGAAUAACUCCCCGAAAGGGGUGCUAAUACCGGAUAAUGUUUUCGGACCAAAGAUUUAUCGCCUUUGGAUGGGCCCGCGUUGGAUUAGCUAGUUGGUAGGGUAAAAGCCUACCAAGGCGACGAUCCAUAGAUGGUCUGAGAGGAUGAUCAGCCACACUGGGACUGAGACACGGCCCAGACUCCUACGGGAGGCAGCAGUGGGGAAUAUUGGACAAUGGGCGGAAGCCUGAUCCAGCAAUGCCGCGUGAGUGAUGAAGGACUUAGGUUUGUAAAGCUCUUUUACCCGGGAUGAUAAUGACAGUACCGGAAGAAUAAGCUCCGGCUAACUCCGUG
rnacentral:rRNA from 1 species